UACGUAGGGUGCAGGCGUUAAUCGGAAUUUCUGGGCGUAAAGCGUGCGCAGGCGGUCUGCUAAGAGAGAUGUGAAAGCCCCGGGCUUAACCUGGGAACUGCGUUUCUAACUGGCAGGCUUGAGUGUGGCAGAGGGGGGUGGAAUUCCACGUGUAGCAGUGAAAUGCGUAGAGAUGUGGAGGAACACCGAUGGCGAAGGCAGCCCCCUGGGCUAACACUGACGCUCAUGCACGAAAGCGUGGGGAGCAAACAGG
rnacentral:rRNA from 1 species